rnacentral:rRNA from 1 species
AUUGAACGCUGGCGGCAUGCCUUACACAUGCAAGUCGAACGGCAGCACGGGUGCUUGCACCUGGUGGCGAGUGGCGAAUGGAUGAGUAAUACAUCGGAACGUACCUUAUCGUGGGGGAUAACGCAGCGAAAGCUGUGCUAAUACCGCAUACGCCCUGAGGGGGAAAGCGGGGGAUCGCAAGACCUCGCGCGAUUAGAGCGGCCGAUGCCUGAUUAGCUUGUUGGUGGGGUAAAAGCCCACCAAGGCGACGAUCAGUAGCUGGUCUGAGAGGACGAUCAGCCACACUGGGACUGAGACACGGCCCAGACUCCUACGGGAGGCAGCAGUGGGGAAUUUUGGACAAUGGGGGCAACCCUGAUCCAGCAAUGCCGCGUGAGUGAAGGAGGCCUUCGGGUUGUAAAGCUCUUUUGUCAGGGAAGAAACACCGGCUCUAACACAGUCCGGGAAUGACGGUACCUGAAGAAUAAGCACCGGCUAACUACGUGCCAGCAGCCGCCGUAA